GCUGGUCUGCACACCGCUGACCGCGGAGGACCGGGGAGCAGUAGUCCGGGACCGACCGCAGCGAGGGGCGGCUGUCCGCCGUCCGCGACCAGGGACAUGUUGUAGGAAUGAGCUGAAGAGUGGGAGACACCGAAUACGUGAUUCACGAGACUCCUGACACCGAGCAAGACCUCCCGCGUGGAUGACCCCGCCCUCACGGCCCAAGGAGGCAUACCAACCACGCCUGAACACGUCUGGGCAAUUCGUUUAAACUCCCAGCAGAGCAGUUCCGGACCCAAAAGAUCUUCCUUGAAAGAGGUGGGAUCCCACGCCCACAGCGUUAUGCCAAAGACCACCCUUUGCACGAUCCUGUUUGCACGGAAGGCCCGGAGGAGGGGCAUGUGAAGAGACAGCAAGGACAGCAGCGGUUGCGGGUGCGGGGCUGGGGCCACUGCCCAGGGAGGCGCACCGGGUGCGGGAGUCCACCUAAAUCGGGAUCUGCACAACUCUGCCCACGUGCUUUCAAGGGCAGCCGGGCCUGCACUUACGGAGGGUGAGUUUUCACGCCCAUCUCCGCGAAGCUGCGGAGGAGAGAGCCCGCGGCCGCUCCUCUUCCAGGACGCCCACCACGCUUGCUCUCCCUGGGGUCUGCGCCGUCUCAGAAACCCCCAGUUCAGAGCGCGCGCAAGCCAGAAUGGUGUGUAAGGCCAGCCUUCGGCCGCCGCUCCGGAAGUCUUCGGGGCACGCCUCGGGGGUCGCCGAAGGGAGAGGAAACCCAGGGUCCAGGAGGCCUCGCCGUCUCGAAGUACAGGCCCAGAGCCACAGCCCCAGAAGGCGCCACCCCCGGGCGGCUCUCUGCGCAUGCGCCCUGCGGUCGGCCCAAGCCGGGCCGCGGGCGCUCCCUGCUUUCGCCCACAGCUACGGAAAACAGGCAGUGGAACCACGGGGCCCCCUCGCUGCGGCCUUACACUUGCGGGCUUCCAAGCGCUUUCCGGGAUCUGGCUCGUAGAGGAGUACGGGGUGGGGCCCAGGGAACCAGCAUUGCCACGUCAGGCAGCGGAGGCUGAGUGCGCACGCGCGCUCUGCAGCCCCGGCGCAAGGGCACCUGGGAGGCUCUAGGUGGCUGAAGCCCCGCCCUGCAGUCGGGAGGGCUCUCGGGUGCGGGGACACGACGUCCCUCAUUGUGCCCAGGGGCCUCAGGCGGUGUGUUUUCAGACGCGUGACCUUCACGUCACGAUUAGUGCGCUAAUCCCUAAAAAGUAAAUUCCGGUUUUAGAACGCUAUCGGGUCACAUCCAUUAUCUUCCGUCGGAAAAGAGCUCAUUCCGUCAGUUGACGAGAACGCCGGGCCUGUCGGGCGAGCGUCGCGGUGCUGCACCGCUGCCUGGCGCAGAGCCGGUGCCGCCCGCCUGCCCCCCACACGGCCGGCCGAAGGCCCCCAGGACGGGCACACUGGGUCUGGACUCAGUUGCUGUCCGGCAGGAGAAGCAUGUGUUUACUUGCUCAUUCUUCAGUAUAUUCUGAGACCAUACAUGGAUUAGAAUCUGGAGGACACAGAGGCUCUCCCCUCAAGGUGGGGAAGAUGCCACCGACAGCUGCAGCGAAUGGUGGAAACAGCGCGCCUCUCUCCCAGUAAUUGUACCGAAGUCCCAGCCCAUCCGUGAGUCAGUCCCUGAGAUGCUGGCUUCCCAGACCUGAGACACGUAUCCAUUCCUAGACCAGAAAGCGAUGCCAUUUUCACUCAAACUGCCAAGGGCUGUGAGUAGGGGUGGCCUGGCCCUUCAAAGGAAAUAGGAAGCAUGAGGCCCAAAAUAAAGGGGGGUGU